GCCUUGUUAGGGCAUUAGGCAAAGGAUGUACAACUCCAAAAGAUUUGGUUGGUAUAAACGCCAAUGGGGAUCUGCCGGACAGACUGAACAGCUGACUGGGGGGCACAAAGCCAAAGGAGAAUGAUAAGGGGAGAGAGUAAGAAAGCAAUGAGAUACACAUGUCUUGACUGCUUCUCUUCAUGCUGAAAUCCUGGGGGAAAGAAGUGCUAAAUCAGUUGAGGACAUGGGAACAUUUAUUCUGGAAGAAAUUUGGGUACAGAGACAGACAAGCACCAAGAGAAGAUGAUGUGAAGAAGCACAGCGAGAACACCAUGUGAAAAUGGAGGACUGGAAUGAAGCAUCUACAAGCCAGGAAAUGUCUGAGGCUACCAGAAGCCAGGAGAGAGGCCUGGAACAGAUCCUGCACUAGAACCUUCAAAGAGAGCAUGGUCCUGCUGACAUGUUGAUUUUGGACUUCUGGCCUCCAGAGCUGUGAGAAUAAAUUUCAG
rnacentral:lncRNA from 1 species